rnacentral:snoRNA from 1 species
CCUGCUGGGAGAUGAUGUGAACAAAAGGCCGAAUUAAAGCGCUGCCAGCAGCCAGUGUGGGCUUGCUGGGGGCGCCAUGAUAAAACCGGACUGAAGCGUUCAUCUGAUCCCACGGCAGA